rnacentral:rRNA from 1 species
UACGGGGGGAGCAAGCGUUGUUCGGAUUUACUGGGCGUAAAGCGUGUGCAGGCGGUCGUGCAAGUCGGGCAUGAAAGCCCCUGGCUCAACUGGGGGAAGCUGUCUGAUACUGCAUGACUUGAGGGCUCGAGAGGGCGAUGGAAUUCCGCAUGUAGUGGUGAAAUGCGUAGAGAUGCGGAGGAACACCAGUGGCGAAAGCGGUCGCCUGGCGAGCCCCUGACGCUCAGACACGAAAGCUAGGGGAGCGAACGGG